AUAAGGAGGAUGCAAGCGUUAUCCGGAUUUAUUGGGUUUAAAGGGUGCGUAGGCGGGACUGUAAGUCAGGGGUGAAAUACUGCAGCUUAACUGUAGCACUGCCUUUGAAACUGCCGUUCUUGAGUACAGUUGAGGUAGGCGGAAUGUGGUGUGUAGCGGUGAAAUGCUUAGAUAUACCACAGAACGCCGAUUGCGAAGGCAGCUUACUAAGAUGUUACUGACGCUGAGGCACGAAAGCGUGGGAAUCAAACAGGAUGAGAUACCCUGGUAGUCCACGCUGUAAACGAUGAUUACUUGUUGUUAGCGAUAUAUAGCUAGUGACUGAGCGAAAGCAAUAAGUAAUCCACCUGGCGAGUACGUCGGCAUCGAUGAAACUCAAAUGAAUUGACGGGG
rnacentral:rRNA from 1 species